rnacentral:rRNA from 1 species
UACGGAGGGUGCAAGCGUUAUCCGGAUUCACUGGGUUUAAAGGGUGCGUAGGAGAGCAGGUAAGUCAGUGGUGAAAUCUUUGGGCUUAACCCGAAAACUGCCAUUGAUACUAUCUGUCUUGAAUCCCGUGGAGGUGAGCGGAAUAUGUCAUGUAGCGGUGAAAUGCUUAGAUAUGACAUAGAACACCAAUUGCGAAGGCAGCUCGCUACACGAAGAUUGACUCUGAGGCACGAAAGCGUGGGGAUCAAACAGG